rnacentral:rRNA from 4 species
CUCGACCUGAUAUCAGGCAAGAUUACCC